GCGAGGUAGCUCAGUGGUAGAGCAGGGGACUGAAAAUCCCUGUGUCGUGGGUCCGACUCCCACCCUUGCC
rnacentral:tRNA from 1 species